rnacentral:rRNA from 1 species
UCAGAAGUGCGAAUGCUGACAUAAGUAACGAUAAAGCGGGUGAAAAGCCCGCUCGCCGGAAGACCAAGGGUUCCUGUCCAACGUUAAUCGGGGCAGGGUGAGUCGACCCCUAAGGCGAGGCCGAAAGGCGUAGUCGAUGGGAAACAGGUUAAUAUUCCUGUACUUGGUGUUACUGCGAAGGGGGGACGGAGAAGGCUAUGUUGGCCGGGCGACGGUUGUCCCGGUUUAAGCGUGUAGGCUGGUUUUCCAGGCAAAUCCGGAAAAUCAAGGCCGAGGCGUGAUGACGAGGCACUACGGUGCUGAAGCAACAAAUGCCCUGCUUCCAGGAAAAGCCUCUAAGCAUCAGGUAACAUCAAAUCGUACCCCAAACCGACACAGGUGGUCAGGUAGAGAAUACCAAGGCGCUUGAGAGAACUCAGGUGAAGGAACUAGGCAAAAUGGUGCCGUAACU